rnacentral:misc_RNA from 1 species
UCGAUCACCAGCUCAUUGAAACCACCGUCAUUCCCACAUCCUAAUCAUUAGCCAAAAUAACAAAAGAAAAACUUUGAAUUACAAACUCAAGGUUAAACUAAGAUGUUCUUAGAUGAAAAAAUAAAAGGGUAGCAUUUAAUUUUAGACUUGAAUGAUUCUAGUUCUGAAAAUACAUGGACUAAAAUGGCCGGAUAUAUCUUAGUGCUUCAAUUAAUAUAUCCUAAAUUUUUUUGUAAAAAUGUGUCUUUAAUUGGUUUCAUUAUUUAACAAAUAUAACAACCAAUCACUUGAUAUAGUUAUUUUAGGCUUAAUUUCUAUGGUCCAUGAAAUUACCACUAAUUGCAGCACAAUCACAAAACUUUGUAUCAAUAAACGUAAAUUUGAUUUUAUUUCAAUAAGGUCACUACUGUUAAUUAAUAGAAUUUUUCAGAAGAUAAUAAAGCAAACUUUUAUAAACUAGAUUUAUAAUUAAGAUCAAACAAUAAGAUUUUCUUAUGUAGUUAGCACAAAAAUUUUGGCUAAAACGCUAUAAAAAUUUAGUAAUAGAAACAAAAAUGAAACAAAAAUCAAAGAUGAGUGAUUUUACGGACACAAAUUGAAGUUCAAUGAUUGUACUGAAAUUCACUGACAAGUUCAAUAACCAUGUAUGAAAUUAAGCCUUAUUCUCAACUUAUAAGAGAAAGCCCCCCAAAAAGGAGGAGAAUCCAAGGAAGAACCAUAGAUAAAAGAAGAAGAGAAGAGAGGAGUUUUUU